rnacentral:lncRNA from 1 species
CCCACGCUCUGAUAAAACUUAUCUGCCCUGUGAUCCAUUCUUUCAGAACUUUGCCAUCUCCUCACUAAGAGAACAGUAUCCAUGUGCAGAUGGCAUAAAUGCCAUUUAUUGAUGACAAGUUAAUGUAUGACCUCUGGCCAGGUGUAAGCCUGGGCCCAUGAAGCAAGGACUACAGCAUCAUUGGCAACUGUCCUUCCCCAUAGUCAAGUAGGACCCAGCAGGAACCAGUUAUUGCUUCUUGAACUCAGGAGUGCCCCCUGCUGGGAUCCUACAGUGUUCCCCAAUCUUCCUCGGUGUCAACCUCUGUGCCUUGAAAUUGAUGGCAGCUGACAUUUAUUAACCACUUGAUAUGUGUCAGGUUUUAUUGUAAGUGCUUUAAUUCAUGUUUUAAUUCAUACAAUCACCACAACAAUCCUGUGACACUGAAAUGAUAUAUCAGAAUGGAAAUCAGCUGACUAUCAGUCCUGGAUACAGGUUUUAUUAAUAUCCCAUCUUGACAUUUUGAAGGUGAAGAAAUAUGCUUUUAUUCGACAAAUAUUUUUGAGCUCCUACUAUAACCCAGGCACUGUUCUAGGCCCUGAGCAUACUCCUAUAAGCAAAACACAAAAACCCCUGCCUUCAUAGAGCUUAGAUAACUGUGAAGUUAAUGAAGAAAAUUUUUUGGCAGUGAUCUUAAAUCAAACCAGACAGUGAGCUACUUCCCCUGCUGGGCCUUGCCUGUCACAGCUGAAAAGCUGCUUCUCAACUUGUGUGGAGCUAUCAGAGUUAUAGUCAUUGGACUGGCAGUCCAGCUGCUCUCAUAGAUGGCUUCAGCUCCAGCUUCAUUUGCACCCCUGUGGGCACUGGGAGGCUACUAUCUCAGAGAGAAAAAGCAGAAAAUCAAAUAACUAAAGUGAGGGCACAUCAGAACUGCUGGGACAGCAUGGCCUUGCUAAGGAAGCAUGAAAAGCCCUCACCAGAAGCUGAGCAGAUGCAGGUGCCAUGCUUCUUCAACUUCCCAGGCUACAGACCAUGAACUGAAUAAACCCCUUUUCUUUAUGAAUUAAUC